GGGCGGCGGGCGGGCGGGCGGCUGGCGCGCUGUGUACUUAGGUCGUGUGCUGGGGCUUUUCUCUCCCAGGAGCCGGCGGGGGGAGGGGGAGGAGGAGGGGCCACCGCUCCGCCUUCUCCUUUUCGCAAUGUUGACGCAAUCUAUAAAUAGUGGAACAAAAGGACCAACUUCCUCGGAGCUUUGCUGAAACUGCACAAAAAAUCGAGCUGGGGGGUUCCCUGGUCCCUGGCGAUGGGGCGGGGAGCGCAGCGCCAGGGGAGGGGGCGGGCGCGACAGCGCGGGCCCCGCCGAGGGGGACACCUGGCUGAGGCACAGCUGCCGCCGCGCCGCGCGAACCCAAGGCUCCAGUCCCUGCGCGGGUUGGAGCGCUCAUCCCCACCGGGGGUCUUCCUCCGCCGAUGACAGGUUUUGACCUUUAGGAGAGAGCCAAUUCUGGAGAACAACCUAACUUCUUUGAUUGAACACUCACAUAAUGCAUUGGAACAUGAUAGGAGAUUAAGGUUUAAUAAUGAUAAAAUGAAGACCAUAAUAAAACAGCCCCCUACUUAGCCCAGCAAUUCUUACUUUUCUUACCUGCUUGAUGAAGAUGUCUUUUGAAAGAUGUACUACAAGGAAUGAAACGCUGUUUGUAAAUAAUGCUUUUACCAAGGUGGAUAUUACUAUCCCUUAUUCAUGGAAAAAGUUGUAUUCUAAGUGUUGUUUCUCGUUGAGUAUUAACAAAAAGGAGAAAAAUUAAUGUCCUAAAGUUUUGAGAUAGAUUUGGCUCUAGCGUAUAUUUUGACACCACCACCGCCCCCCACCCCCAAAAAGGUGAGAACUGAUUAUACCAUGGGUACCUAGAACACAUGGAGGAAAGACUGAGACUGGAAGCAGAAAACAGACAUUAUACAGAGCAGAGUGCCUGACAACAGCUCACUCUAUAGUAAAGGGCAAUAAAUGCCACAUGAGAUGAUCCCCUCAGCACAAAACUUUACAUCUGACUUACAUGCCUGAUCUGCUGACUUCUACUGUCUUUUCAUGACUCCUACAUUAUGGAGUUGCAGCAUGUGGGACACCGCCUCAGCAUGGCCUGAUGAGCGGUGCCAUGCUCGCGCCUGGGAUCCAAACUGGCGAAACCCUGGGCUGCCGAAGCAGAGUGCAUGAACUUAACCACUCGGCCAUGGGGGGCCGGCCCCAAUGUUAGAGUCUUUUCAUUCUAAGCAGGCAAGAGUUUUUAAUUUGCCUGUGGUGCAUCUAAGCUAUCCCUGUUUUCUUCAAACUACGUUGCCUGCCUCCCUUUCUAAAACAGGAUUCAAUUUUUUGCAUGUCUUGAUAUCCCAGUUUCAGUAUCCUACUCUAUUUUGGAGUGAACACAAGAGGCUGAGAUGAUCUUGACAGGUGUGUCUCCAGAUGAGAUAAUCCCUAAAAUAUUUACUAAAAUAAGAAACUCAAUCCAUUCUGAAUGUAUACUGUCCCUAAUGAAUAAUAUAUUUUUUAAUUGUGGUAAUUGUCUCCUUCUAAAAACCUCUGCAUUGUGAACUCAUGACUUAUGAGAAACUGUUUAAUAAAAGGCUUAAGUUAUUUUAAGUUAAACCCAUUGUCAAUAUUAUAAAUUGUAUUUGUAGUAAGCUCUAGAAGGGAAGAUAUUGUAUUGUUUUGUUCCUUGCAGUAUCUCCAAUGUCUAGAAUAAUAUUUGGCACACAGUAG
ensembl:lncRNA